UAGGAGCUAUCACGAUCAUGGUUAGAUUUUGGGUCGUGACAUUAUGUGUAGGAGCAAGUUGGACGAAAGGUGAGCAAAAGAAGCUGAUUCGGGACUAAGAGACAAAAGAAGAACUUUGCUCGUUCACUCUUGCGUUUAUAUAAGAGAAUGAACAAGCUAGCUGAGGGCAGCUUGAACGAAAUAAUGGAUUAAGGCAAAAAGUCAUGGAAGUGCAUGAGAGACCUGGAAGAAAAAGAAAAAGAGAAGAACUUCACUCGUUCACUUUCGCUUGCGUACG
rnacentral:lncRNA from 1 species